rnacentral:rRNA from 1 species
UACGGGGGGGGGCAAGCGUUGUUCGGAAUUACUGGGCGUAAAGAGCGUGUAGGCGGCCAUGCAGGUCCGUUGUGAAAACUGGAGGCUUAACCUCCAGACGUCGACGGAAACCGCGUGGCUAGAGUCCGGAAGAGGAGAGUGGAAUUCCUGGUGUAGCGGUGAAAUGCGCAGAUAUCAGGAAGAACACCAAUGGCGAAGGCAGCUCUCUGGGACGGUACUGACGCUGAGACGCGAAAGCGUGGGGAGCGAACAGG